UAUAUUUAAGUAUAAGAUGUACAUAAACGUUUGAAGUUUAAAGAAAUAGUUUAAUUCUAUUAAAUGUAU
rnacentral:tRNA from 1 species